rnacentral:rRNA from 1 species
AGCGAACGCUGGCGGCAGGCUUAACACAUGCAAGUCGAGCGGGCCCUUCGGGGUCAGCGGCGGACGGGUGAGUAACGCGUGGGAACGUGCCUUCUGGUUCGGAAUAACCCUGGGAAACUAGGGCUAAUACCGGAUACGCCCUUUUGGGGAAAGGUUUACUGCCGGAAGAUCGGCCCGCGUCUGAUUAGCUAGUUGGUGGGGUAACGGCCUACCAAGGCGACGAUCAGUAGCUGGUCUGAGAGGAUGAUCAGCCACACUGGGACUGAGACACGGCCCAGACUCCUACGGGAGGCAGCAGUGGGGAAUAUUGGACAAUGGGCGCAAGCCUGAUCCAGCCAUGCCGCGUGAGUGAUGAAGGCCUUAGGGUUGUAAAGCUCUUUUAUCCGGGACGAUAAUGACGGUACCGGAGGAAUAAGCCCCGGCUAACUUCGUGCCAGCAGCCGCAGUAA